GGACCAGACUCCUACGGGAGGCAGCAGUGGGGGAUAUUGCACAAUGGGGGGAACCCUGAUGCAGCGACGCCGCGUGGGUGAAGGAGUAUUUCGGUAUGUAAAGCCCUAUCGGCAGGGAAGAAGAAAGACGGUACCUGACUAAGAAGCCCCGGCUAACUACGUGCCAGCAGCCGCGGUAAUACGUAGGGGGCGAGCGUUAUCCGGAUUUACUGGGUGUAAAGGGAGCGUAGACGGCUGCGCAAGUCAGAAGUGAAAGCCCGGGGCUCAACCGCGGGACUGCUUUUGAAACUGUGUAGCUAGAGUGCAGGAGAGGUAAGGGGAAUUCCUAGUGGAGCGGUGAAAUGCGUAGAUAUUAGGAGGAACACCGGUGGGGAAGGCGGCUUACUGGACUGUAACUGACGUUGAGGCUCGAAAGCGUGGGGAGCAAACAGGAUUAGAUACCCUGGUAA
rnacentral:rRNA from 1 species